UACGUAGGGGGCAAGCGUUGUCCGGAUUUAUUGGGCGUAAAGCGCUCGCAGGUGGUUCGAUGCGUCGUGCGUGAAAGCCCCCGGCUCAACUGGGGAGUGUCGUACGAUACGGUCGAACUGGAGGCCAGUAGGGGGAUGCGGAAUUCCGGGUGUAGUGGUGGAAUGCGUAGAGAUCCGGAGGAACACCAGCGGCGAAGGCGGCAUCCUGGACUGGUCCUGACACUCAUGAGCGAAAGCGUGGGGAGCGAUCCGG
rnacentral:rRNA from 1 species